UCACGAGACCUACUUUUACUCGGAAAACCCGAGGCACGGGUGCGCGCGCGUGCCGCAACUACACAGUACCUCGAUACGGCUCGAGGUUCGAGUACAAGACGCGAACGCGUCCUGCUCUUCUCGCGCGCGGCGAUCAUCACAAUUUUCAGAAUCGCACUCGCUUUGUUCGCCCAGCGUAUUGACACAUUGCGCGCGCGCGCCUGUGUCUGUGUCUCUGUGUGUGUGUGUGUGUGUGUGUGUGUGAGAGAGAGAGAGAGAGAGGCAGGAGAGCAUGCAGCGCGCAGCGCCGGAACAGGAAUUAUCGAUCGAGUUGGACCAAUCGCGGAUGCACGCGAGAUUGGGGAGAGCGCAGGAAUUCCGGGCAGAAAAGUUCAGAGUCUCACCUGCGGGGAUGCGCUCGUCCAAGGCACGCUGCAGCGGACGAGUUGAGAGGAAGACUGUUGACUCGCCGCGGGCCGAGCAGCGAAGAGGCGUGACGCGCGUGCGGUCUCUGUUGCAUCCGUACAGGCGCGCCGCGAGACUCUCACUGCCGAGUGCCGGAUGCAGAGAGCAGCGGCGGCGUCCUUGGCGAGAGGCUCGCGCCGGCGUACUCGUGUCUCGUACGCGGCGCCAGGGCCUGGACUCUGGAGGCGCUCCGUACGGCUGUGAUCUGGGAUACCUAAUCCGCCGCUGCUCGCUUUUUCACCUCGCACUCGGCGACCCGUGCACGACUCCCGCAGGCUGCUGUGUGUCAAUUCACGUUGCGCGAAAGAUUACAACUAGGUAUACCUAUAAUAUUCGAGACUGCGGACGAGGCUGACUCAAUCGUUGUCAGAUUGACGCGUCGAUUCGAAAAUGUGCUCAUAGCAGUUUGCUCGUAACAUCUUGACGUUUCCUGGGAUGACGGCACAAGGCACACUCCCGCGUAUGCUCUUCAAAGUCAAAGCCUUCUCAAUAAACAAGAUGACUGCUACGUUGCUCAUCGCAUGAUUGAAACGCAAUUUCAAUACUUACAAUGUUUCAUUAUUUUUAUUCGAUAUUAAAUUAGUCGUUUUGACAAGUGCAAGUGAAACAUUGACGCUAUGAAAAAAAAAAAAAAAAAUAUUGAUCCGAGUAUACUCGAGCUGCGUUAAAAGCAUUUGUAGCG